UACGUAGGGUGCGAGCGUUAAUCGGAAUUACUGGGCGUAAAGCGUGCGUAGGCGGUUUUUUAAGUCCGUUGUGAAAGCCCUGGGCUCAACCUGGGAAUGGCAGUGGAUACUGGAAAGCUAGAGUGCGGUAGAGGGUAGUGGAAUUCCCGGUGUAGCAGUGAAAUGCGUAGAGAUCGGGAGGAACACCAGUGGCGAAGGCGGCUACCUGGACCAGCACUGACACUGAGGCACGAAAGCGUGGGGAGCAAACAGG
rnacentral:rRNA from 1 species